CAAGGCUUAGAUAGAAAAGAUUAGUUAUCAAUGAGAGAAUGGAAAGUUCUAGAUGCACCUGAUGUUAUUUCCAGAUAUUGCCCACAGGAGCUUGAAGCAUGUAGUUUAGACCUUAGAUAAGCAGGAAUCCACAUUCCCAAGACACAUUUCACCACUACCCCAGGUUCUUUCUUGGAAUAGCCAGUUUCACCAAGUGUUCCUGUGUUUCCCUUCCAUCUGCCUGUUUUUCCCAACCUCAGAUGACAGGAAUAGGCAGCUGCCCCUUGCCAAGCAUUGGUGGGAGAUUCCCAAAUGUUCACCUGCUGCAGGGACAAGGGCAGGGUUGGACUGACUCCAUAACUUUAGCUGGAAGCCUUGCUCAGGAGUGCCCCCUACUUGAUGAAGGGAAAAGGUCAGACAAAUGGUCUCAAAGAACUGAAAGGGCAUCCGGCCAGAAUGAACUUCAAAUAUGAAGAAAUUCCACAAAUAAUGCAUUUUCUGUUCUUACCUCCAUGCCCUUAUUGAAAACACCAUUCACUGUUCUUCCAACUACACUCUAAGACAAGAAAUGUAUGCUGGGAGGAAACAAAGACUAGUCUGAUAUGAAACUUGCUUUCAAAAGCAGAGUUGUGAUAUUCAAGAAAAAUAUCACAGAAUAGAAUGUCCUAACUGCAAUAGGAGAGGUUCAGAUAAAAUACUACAGAAGUUCACAGCAUGGAGCCCCAGCAGUCAUCUUUUCCAAACGAAUCAUCUUACCAGAGCACAAAACCCUCUCCAAGAUACCACAUCACUAGUAAAUAUGGUAAUGUGGAAUUUAAAUCUUUAACAUCUACCAAGAGCCUGCAAAAUCAGUAUGCAAAGUAAUGUGUUGCAUUGUUUAAAGAAUACUAGGUUGAUGGUGAAACCCCGUCUCUACUAAAAAAAAUACAAAAAUUAGCCAGGCGUGGUGGCGCACGCCUGUAAUCUCAGCUACUCAGGAGGUUGAGGCAGGAGAAUCUCUUGAACUCAGGAGGCCAAGGUUGCAGUGAGCCAAGAUUGCGCCAUUGAAAUCCAGCUGGGGCGACAGGGGGAGACUCCAUCUCCAAAAAAAAAAAAAAAGAAUACCAGGUUGAAACGUGCUCUCAAAAUACAAAGUUAAUUAGAUGGAGGGUCUCUUCCAACUUAUUUGCACAAAAAUAAGUAUUUUCUCUUUAUUUUGUCCUUAAUGUCAAGUAAAAACUUUAUUUACCUGAAGUUCUUUUUGAGGCUACAAAGGAGGGUCAUUUAGCUUGCUCCAAGUUACAGAAGAAACUGAGGCACAAAAAAAUUUAAUACAUUGAAUCUAAAAGCUUUAAAUAAAGGAUGCAUUGAUUAAAAAACAAAUAUGGAUGACCUACUAGAAGCUUGGAAAUGUUUAGUUGAAGCUUUCUCCUCUUAUCUUAAAUACAGGGCUCCCUGGAAAUUAAUCACAGAUGUUCCAGCACUUGGUAGAAAGGCAAACUUGUGGUGGGAAAGAUACAAACAAAAUAAGAGCCAAAAGUUGGUCAUUGUUUGCAGGAUGUCUUAUUCAAUGUGUAUUUUUCUAUAUGUACAUGCAUAGGUAAGUCUCAGAGACUUUCUGCUCAAAGAUAGGUGACUCUCAGGUAUGGUGCAAAAGAGCAAUCUCCCCUCCCACCCUCACACUCUUUAAAAACAAGGCAGGGUGGCUGGGUGCAGUGGCUCAUGCCUGUAAUCC
rnacentral:lncRNA from 1 species